UAAAAAGCUCGUAGUUGGAUCUGUGUAUCGGACGGUCGGUUCGCCGCUCGCGGCGUUUAACUGACCGGUCCGGACGUCCUGCCGGUGGGCUUCCGGCCCUUCGCGGGGCCGGUCGCCCGUUAACCUUCCCUCCGGGCUGCUCUUAACCGAGUGGCGCGGUGGGCCGGCACGUUUACUUUGAACAAAUUUGAGUGCUCAAAGCAGGCCUCGAGUUGCCUGAAAACUGUGUGCAUGGAAUAAUGGAAUAGGGCCUCUUCUCUAUUUUGUUGGCUUUUCUGAGAUAGAGGUAAUGAUUAAUAGGGACAGACGGGGGCAUUCGUAUUGCGACGUUAGAGGUGAAAUUCUUGGAUCGUCGCAAGACGGACGGAUGCGAAAGCGUUUGCCAAGAAUGUUUUCGCUAAUCAAGAACGAAAGUUAGAGGUUCGAAGGCGAUCAGAUACCGCCCUAGUUCUAACCAUAAACGAUGCCAGCCAGCGAUGCGCCGACGUUCCUCCGAUGACUCGGCGCGCAGCUUCCGGGAAACCAAAGCUUUUGGGUUCCGGGG
rnacentral:rRNA from 1 species